rnacentral:rRNA from 1 species
AUUUAUGGCCUUGCCACCCUGAACAAGCCCGAUGUCUUUCUCAGAAACUAAGCAGGGUCUGGCCUGGUUAGUACUUGGAUGGGAGACCACCUAGGAAGACCAGGUGCUGUAGGUA